rnacentral:lncRNA from 1 species
AAGAAGUCAGGCCACUACAAGUGCCAUAGCUUGAGCAAACUAUGCAGCCUGUAGCUCCACCUGGGAAGGUGUAAAAAAUCUGGGAGGCCACAAACCAUGGAAGCUGUACGCAUGGCGUAGUGGACUAGCGGUUAGAGGAGACCCCUCCCUUGCAAGUCGCAGCAACAAUGGGGGCCCAAGGUGAGAUGAAGCUGUAAUCUCACUGGAAGGACUAGAGGUUAGAGGAGACCCCCCCGAAAUAAAAAACAG